UGAGGUCAGGGCUGUGUCACACACACCGGCGCACGUGGACCUGGGUGCUGGAGCUGGGCUGAAGGGCCCCAGACACGGCCCAGCCAAUGGAUGCAGAACGCUUUGCACAGUGAAUAAAGGAAGGAAAUAAGAGGAAGUAAGCUGUCUCUCUUCAGGGAAAAUGCCUCCAAGCCACAGUAGCUCUCUUCAGGGAUUUAGGUAUGAUCUCCCCUGACCCAGGCAGUUCUUGCUCGCCCACCUCCACCUCCACAUCUGUAUUUUGCAUAGACGAAAGGAUCCAGCGCUCCAGCAGCCCCCACCUGCUCCCAAGGCCCCGGUUGUCCUGCCUCGCGGUCCCCACAGCAACCAGGCUCUGCUGCCGUCAAUGGAGAAGAGGGGGCGGGAGACAGCGGUGACGUCAAAGCGGAGGAAGGGGGCGGGGCGAAGCAGCUGGGGAAUGUGGGGCAGGGAGGCUGGAAAGGCAGCGGUUUGGGAGGCGGCCAGCCCAAGAGGGCGGCGGCUAGCGCACUUGGGAACAUCGUGUUCUCUUGGCUGUUGGCCCAGGACAUACACUCAGCCUGGACGCCUCCCCCAACCCAACGACAGCGGUCCUGUCCCAAAGCCAGGGAUUCCUGGAGAGAGCUUUAGGAGGAGGGGGUCCCCCUUCCCCGCCCCCACGCCUGGCUCUCCUUUUGGAACUCGCAUCUGCUGGCCCCUCAGCUCGCUCCUAACAGCUCCUGGCACUGGCUUUCCCCCUCUCCCAAACUACACGCUGCUGCUGGCCCAGUACCAAAGAGCCAGGGCGGAGAAGUGGAGGCCCAAGUUCUGCGAGAGAAGACGCACCUUUGCUCCCUCCCAGAGGUCCCCUUCGGAGCCCGAAUCUCUUGUUACUAUGGCAGCAGGGUAGGGGGCGGGGAGAAGGAGAGGGAGGAGGGGCAAGGAGGUGAAUGGGUCUAGGAUGAGGAAAUCAAACUGGGACAGAGCAAGUAGCCCAGUCUGGGGCCUGGAUCUUGGAAGAAGGACAGGGAGGAAUGAAGAAAUUUGGGCUGGUGCCUGAAGACCAGAAGAACCAGGAAGAAGGGAAAUGGGGAGUCAUCAAAACUUGCAGAAAAACAUGAGAAUAAUUCCCAGUCACAACAUUCACAUAAAUCUCACCCUGUCACAGUUGUUUUGUCACCCUACAGCCAUUUUUUAAGCUAUAUUAAAAAAAAAAAAUGACCCAGGCCUUGUACUGAGCACUAUACAUGCAUUAAUCUCAUUUAAUCCCCCCAAAAAAAACCCUGUGAAAUAGGUAUUAUUAUGCAUUAUAUAAAAUGCUUGGUUAUAUAUUUUUGUUGAGUUUUUUUAUUAAAGUCUUGUAAAAAAAAAUAGGCAUUAUUACCUCCAUUUUUAUGGGGGGACCACUAAGAAUUUAUUAAACUUGUCUAAUUUUCUGCCUUA